rnacentral:lncRNA from 1 species
UGCCCUAGAUUGGUGGGAGCCUUGUUUUCACAUGGGCUGCCCUUUAGAAUGCAAGCUUUGACACCAUGGUAUCAUGGCUCUUUUGCAACUUACGUGACCAGAGUUCAAUUUACAGAGAUGAUUUCUCUACUUGUAACGUCAAGGUUGUGUAUAUUGAUCGUUCUGUCACGAACGGUCGUCGCACACCUGCAACAACUUUGUUCAACGAACCGUUCGUUACUUUUGCAUGCUUGUACAGAGAUAUGACAGUAUGUUUUGCCUUGGUUUUGGGUGUUUUUGCUUGUAAAAAUGCAUGUUCGAACAGGUUGCAUCGCUAUAGUGCGAUCGCUCACCGUGCCGUGCAAAACUGCCCCAAAAUGGCUCUGUUUUCGCAUGUCAUGAUUUGUUUUCUGCAGACCGCAGCUGCACGCAAAAUGUUAGCCAUCUCAGCACCCUGGAACCUCCGGGUGGCAUAGGGCUGGGUGGGGCUUCGGUAUAUUGUUGAGUGUUAAACAAUCUUCACAAGUUCACACGUUAACUUGACGAGAACUUGCCUUCGCGCUCGGCACCUAGUGAGUAGUUGUUUGUGGACUUGCAACUAUUCGUUCUACCUUCUAAAGUCCUUGUUUUCUCCUUCCCUCUCUUUUCUCUCUUGCACUCAAGGUGCUCGCUGAAUUGCUUGUAAAGCUUCCCUUUUCGCGAGAUUUCGGGACUAAUCAACUUUCUCUUUUACAGGUCCUUCGGGACCUGAGUGAGGUUGCAAAUUGGCUGACCCUUUGCGGACGCAUAUCGCAAGGUCGCGUCAUGACUUAGGUAAUCCUAGCUAAGUCCGAGAAGUUGGCACAAGGAUGCUUCGCUACUUAGACAACUCAAGCUAAGUUUGCGACUUUGCCGCAAGGGUGUCUCAUGGCUUAGGCAAUUCCAGCAAAGUCCGUGAUAGUUCGGUUGAUUCCUAAACCUCGUAAUAGCAGGAUUUCAUCCAUUACAUCAUAUUUUUUGUAAAACUAGAAAUGCUUUGCCUAGGAUUACUGGUAUAGACAUAGACACAAAUAUUCUUUGAAUUUUAUGAUUUUAUAAUUUUGAGAAGAUGAAGUUCAAAGGUGUUGAGGCAACUUGAGUAAAUGCUUGAAAAACUUAGGCAACAUGAGUAAACAAAGGAAGCCUUCGAAAACUACUGUGUAUAUUUCUUAACCACUAAGGACAUGACUUUUACAAAAAAAAUGUCUUUUACAUGUGGUUACCAACAGUGAUAUGCAUGG